rnacentral:rRNA from 1 species
UACGGAGGGGGCUAGCGUUGUUCGGAAUUACUGGGCGUAAAGCGCACGUAGGCGGCUUUGUAAGUUAGAGGUGAAAGCCCGGGGCUCAACUCCGGAAUUGCCUUUAAGACUGCAUCGCUAGAAUUGUGGAGAGGUAAGUGGAAUUCCGAGUGUAGAGGUGAAAUUCGUAGAGAUCCGGAGGAACACCAGCGGCGAAGGCGGCAUCCUGGACUGGUACUGACGCUCAUGAGCGAAAGCGUGGGGAGCGAGCCGG